GUAGCUAUAGUUUAACCAAAACAUUAGAUUGUGAAUCUAACAAUAGAAGCCCACAACUUCUUAUCUACC
rnacentral:tRNA from 1 species